rnacentral:lncRNA from 1 species
AGAGAGAGCAAGAACCACUUUCUGGGUUACGCAUGUCUACUGUCUUCAGGAAAAAGAGGACCUUAGAACUGAAGGAGCAAGAUUCCAACAUCACACUGUUUUUGUUAGCUGUGUGUGUGUGUUUCCUGUGUAUCCAAAAGACAGAGGAGAUGAAAAAGCAAAAGAAAAGAAACGAGGAAUCAGAUUGGAAAGAGUAUGAGUUUGUACUUAUGAAAUAAAACUUUUAUCUCUCUACACAGGACCGGGAGUCUGUCCCAAUUUCCUGUCUCUAACCUCACUGGAAGUGCUGACCCACUUCUGGCUAUUUUUAUGUGUUUCUUUGAAAAUGCUUACUGUGAUUGGAGUUGACUUGCCGACUCUGUUCUGCAGCCUCCCCACCACCUGAGUCCCAAAGGGCGGCCCUUCCCACCUCACGCCCAGUAAUUAUGGGUGAGCGCAGAGCCAAAGGAUGGCAGGGCUUUGUUGGUGGUGCGACCAGCGGGUGACCCCUUUCCUCGCAAUCAGAGACUCAGGGACAAGCAGCUUGCACCUGCACGUGGAGCUUUGCACACGGCCUUUUGCCUGAUUUUCCUCUUCGAGGCAUGCCCCCUCCAUGAAAGAUGGGCAUCUUCCCAUGUUCCGGAAUUCUUGGGGGUGCGCUGAUUCCAGGCUCUCGCCCCAGCUUUGGGCCCAGGGCAGUGAGCAUGUGUAGUUACUUAUCUAGGAUUGCAACCUGAGUCAACAGUGAAACCAGGAAGUGAACUCGGGGUCCGGCAUUGUAUGGAAAGUUGGGUGUAUUUACUUUUCUCUUAAAGCAAACUUUGAUUGACUCUUUAAUAAGUUACCAUGGAGGAUAUAGUUCUGGUGAGAUUUGACUUGGCAUCCAAAUCUAAGGCACAUAUUGAUAAUGGAGGAGAGGAACAGGGAGUCUUUUAUGUUUUUCCAGUUUUAUCAUUAACCCCAAGUUCAGAAAUCUGUUUGCUUUUAAAAGUGUCAGUUUCCUCGUUUAGGAAGGUGACAGUUCUCUACUGAUGAUGAGGUUUUUUUUGUUUUUUUUUUGAGAUGGAGUCUCGUUCUGUCACCCAGGCUGGAGUGUAAUGGCACGAUCUUGGCUCACUGCAACCUCUGCCUCCCGGGUUCAAGCGAUUCUCCUGCCUCAGCCUCCCGAGUAGCUGGGAUUACAGGCAUCCACCACCAUGCCUGGCUAAUUUUUUGUAUUUUUAGUAGAGAUGGGGUUUUGCCAUGUUGGCCAGGCUGGCCUUGAACUCCUGACCUCAGGUGAUCCGCCUGCUUCGGCCUCCCAAAGUGUCGGGAUUACAGAUGUGAGCCACCGCGUCCAGCCUGUUGAGAGGUUUCUCCAGGACGUCACCUGUAUGAGGUACACAGUGUGAUGACACACUCUGUGCUUUUCCUACUUGUGUCCACGGCUCAAGCCUGGAAGAAGCCUUAGGACGUGGGGGAAAUGUCUAACGUGGAGUCCACCUGCUGAGCAGGACCGGGUGUGAAGGAAGAAGCUUUGUUCUGAUUCCUCAUGGCCCAGCCACCCCUCGCCUGAGCUGAGCCUGGCCACAGGGCCCGCCUGCAGGAAGGGCUGGCCCAUGGCUUCACACUGGGCUCAGGCUGCGCUAAGAGCCCCGGGUGAGGACCUCCAAGCCCAGGAAGCCUCAGUUGGCCAAAGUGCUAGAUGCGUGUGGUCUGCUUUCAUCCCCGCUUCCCUCAGAGCUUGCAUUUUCCAAAUUCAAGAGAGGCUCCACCUUCAAGAAGACCGGCCUGUCCCUGUUAUUUAUGUGUCCCCCUACCAUAUCUCCCUUUGUUCUGCAGAGCGGCCAUACCUGCCAGCAGCCUGCUCUCCCGGCCAUGCUGCGGUUCACAAAAGUCCAGCAUUUGGCUAGCUUCCUGGGGGAAUGAAUCUUUCAGAGCCAAACUAAUGCUAUGCAUGCAGCUUAUGAUUUUUUUUUUUUUGUCUUCAACAAAGUGAAUACUUACUUUUUUUUUGCUCUUUAAAUUGUCAUCCAUUAUAUUCAUCAACACAGAGAGAUGGAACAUUUGGCAAAAUUAUUUUAAGUAGCACUCCAACCUGUGAUCGUAAUUUCAAAUCAAGGAAUUUGCUGAGCAGCUGUGGGGAAGAACAAAAGGCCUGAGAGUGAUUUAGGGCCUGGGGGAGGGGAGGCGGUGGAGUUGAAGGCCCCAGCCGGUAGCAGAAACAGCUGGGGAGGUAGGUUGUGCACACCCCGUGGGGGAGCCGGCCUUCUCAGCCCUGCCAUCCCAUCCACACGUGCCUCAUCAGAGAGUUUUCGUCUCCUGAACAUACCACAUGCAGCACUUUAAAAUAGAUAAACUAAGAGGAUUCAGAUUCAGUUUGAUACCCUCGCUGAGAGCUUCGGCUCGGGAGUUGGACAGGCCUGGCCUUGAAUCCUGGCUCUGCCUCUCACCAGCCUCAGUUGCAUCAUCUGUAAAAUGGGGCUAAUGUAGCAAUCACUUCGCAGAUAUUACUAUGAGGUUGAGUGUUUAUUUGACCCAGUCACUGGCAUAGAACAAGUGUUCAAAAUACUAUUAUUAUCACCAAUAUGCAGAAAUGUUCAAUGUAUACACUCGGUUUUUGCAACCAAUUUAUUCAAUGAACAUCUAUUGAGCACCUGUUAUGUGUUAGGUGCAGGGCUGGGUGUUGUGUGGGUACAAACACAUAAAGCAUAGGAAUUAAUAUGCUAUUAGAUAAACUAAAAAGACUUCUAUUGACUUAAAAAGUAAUAAUGACUUCUAAGCAUAUUUAAGUAAUUUACGAAAGAGCCUUUCUUUUUUUUAUUUUUGAGAUGGAGUCUUGCUCUGUCUCUCAGGCUGGAGUGUAAUGGUGCUAUCUCAGCUCACUGCAACCUCUGCCUCCCGGGUUCAAGCAAUUCUUGUGCCUCAGCCUCCAGAGUAGCUGGGUUUAUAGGCGCGUGCCACGACGCCCAGCUAAUUUCUGUGUUUUUAGUAGAAACGGGGUUUCACCAUGUUGCUCAGGCUAUCUUGAACUCAUGACCUCAGGUGAUCCACCUGCCUCGGCCUCCCAAAGUGCUGGGAUUACAGGUGUGAGCCAUUGCACCCGGUCAAAAGAGGCUUUCUUAACAGAUGGUCUAUUAGAAGCAAUUUGAAAAGAAAAUAUAGAGUUGAAAAAAAUAAAAGGGAAGCUGCAUUCUUUUUAAUUGUUUUUGAACUUGUUGCUUUUCAACACAGCUAUUAUCUAAAUUAACUUAAUUUCUUAAAAUAAGCCCUGCUUGAUACCCGGGAACCUUCAAUCAACUAAUUUGCAGAUAAUCAGACCUAUUUACAAAUAGUCUGGUUUGUCUGAGUGACUUUCAGUGACACAUGCAUACUCAGAAAGGGUAUCAUUUGCCAGGGAUUAGUCAGUUCUGCUGAAUUACAGUCUUCAGAAUGAGAAGUCAUCUAGUUCAACCUUUCAUCCUUUUAAUAGAAUUUCUGGUGGAUAACAGCUGAGCUUCUCCUCCGACUCUGCUAGGAAUGGAGAACUUACUACUUCAAAACGUAGAUGCUGCCUGGGUUGAGCAGCUCUAAAUGUUCAAGAUGGAAUCAUUAAUAGGAAACUAAUUGAAAAGAAUUUGCAUAGCACGUCUCAAGGACAAAAAUCCCUUCUGUUGUUUUUUCCUUUUGUCUUGGUCUGCAUCUCUGUCAUUUGGUGGUGUUUGGACUGCCUGUCUGUCUUCCCUUUUUACUCCGAGCGGCGGCCUGCCCUCUGCCCCCUGCCCCCAGGGGAACAACAAUGGCCCUGAUCACAAUUGGGUGGCCAAGCAUAUCAUGCCGUGGAAGUUUGGAGCCAACACUCAGUUCCAGUUGCUCCUCUCCUUAUUCUCUAGGGUGGCUCCACUAGGUUCUGCUUUCUCAGAAAACAGCAGUGAACUUUGUUCAGCCGAAACCCUAUUUCCCAAGCUGAUACUUGCUCACUGGCCUCCCCUCCUCCAGCUGCUCCCAACUGCUGACCACUUCUUGAGCGCACUGCUAGCUGCUUCUGCUGUUCCAGCACUUCCUGGAAGGCAGCUGCAAGCAGCCGAGGCAGAUGGAGCCCAAGCCCUGUUGCUUGUGGUCUUGGCUUACUGAGCCUGAAUCCACGACCGGAUCAUUAGAAAAGGGACGGUGUGUGUGCCUACCUUUGAAGCCAGUAGGCCAAAAGAAGGGUGAGCAGGACAGCGCCAUAACACCUAGAGUUACUGUGUUUGGUUCACACUUCUGGUUUCCUGCAGAAUUGCUAGAAUUUUUAAAAAAAGGAAGCAGCAAGUUGAGAGCAACUAAAGUAAAAAGAGAAAAGUGAUACAAAGGGAAAGGUUUAUUUUUGGAGCUCUUAGAUUCUGAAACUCCUUCUGACUCUUUUAUCCUUUUACCUCUCCCUUUCUCCUCACUGGGCUCUUUGUCCUCAUGGGGACUGUGCAUCUCUGGUCUCACUCUAGCUCUGGGUCCCUUAGGCUCUUCUGGUUUUCUGGCUCCUGGAGUGAGCCCUUUCAAUGAGGCCCUCCCUCAAUUUCCCAUCCCUCUUGUUCUUCUGCCAUCCAGACUCAUCACAGCCCAAAUCUGAGACCAGCUGGCUGCACCGCUGGCUACUCAGAGCGGCUGGAGACAGCCAUGCCCUGGGGCGACUUGUUCCAUGGUGAUCUGACUGGUUCAUGCAGGGGUCUCGGACCUCACGGACCUCAUCAGGAGCAUCAAAUGGGGUUUUUUUUGGCCGGAAUGAUAUUUAAAACAAUUUGAUUUAGUUAUGAGCAUUUAAGAAAUAGGAGGUCACCAGAAAAUCCAGAGUUUUAGCUCGGCAAGCAGAGAUGGAGAGCUGGCGGUACCCGGUCUUUACCCAUUCUGGAAGGACCACUGGCUGGAGCUGAGAGGCAGUGGCUUCUCUGACAUGGGGCAUACACUCCAUUUUGCUACCUUCUCUGCAACAACAGAGAGUGUCUUCCUGGACCCCAAACUGAGAAUCAGAUGCCUUUAAUCAACGGGCUUGCUUCCUCCCACUCCCCAGACAACCUGAUUCAUGAGAUGCCUGCCUGUUCCCCGUGGGCAUCUGAGUUUGCAGCCCAUGCUCAGUAGAGUUUAUUCGGCAAUCCUUUUCCUGACCUAUAGCAGACUCCUAGCCCACCACAUUUCUAAUGCAGCUGUUGCAAGUCUUGUCCAGACCUUUCAGACCCUUGAUCUCUCCGGGAGAUUGUGCCUCAUACAUUAUUGAAAAGAUUGAGGCCACACAACAUGUGCUCUAAUGCCUCAGCUUUCUGCCUUUCUGCUUCUAAGGUCUCUGUUCUCUCUCCAUUCCGUCCUCCUUCCCUCCUUUCUGACUCUCUUUUUCUUUUUUUCAUCACUUUUAAAAAUUGUAAAAUAGAAUGUACGUACAGAAAAAGGAGGCCGAGGCAGGAGAAUCACUUGAACCUGGGAGACAGAGGUUGCAGUGAGGCGAGAUCACGCAUUGCACUCCAGCCUGGGCAAUAAGAGUGAAACUCUGUCUCAACAAAAAAGAAAAACAAAAAAGAACCAAAAAAAACCCCCCAAAACCAAAGAUAUACAGUUCAGUGAUUUAUCACAAAGUCAACACCAGUGUCAUUAUCAGCCUGAUCGAGAACUAGAACUCUGCCCUCCCUCACCCUGGACGUACUCUUCAUUCCCCCGUCCACCUCUACCCUCCCUCCCUAUCAGAGGCGACCAUUAUCCUGACUUUUUAUGUAAAGCAUCUUUGUUUAUCUUUACCACCUAAAUAUAUAUAUAAACAGAUGUUUAUAGCAGUUUUAUUCAUAACUGUAAAAACUUGAAAGCAACCAAGAUGUCCUUUAGUAGGUGAAUAGAUAAUAAACUGGGAUACAUUCAGGCAAUGCACCAUUAUUCAGUCCUCAAAAGAAAUGAGCUAUCAAGCCAUGACAUGAUAUGGAAGAACUUUAAAUGCAUAUUACUAAGUGAAAGAAGACAGUCUGAAAAGACUAUAUGCUGUGUGAUUCCAACUAUAUGUCAUUGUGGAAAAGGCAAAACUGCAGAGGCAGUAAAAGGAUCAGUAAUUGGCCGGGCGCAGUGGCUUACAUCUGUAAUCCAAGCACUUGGGGAGGCUGAGGCGGGCGGACCAUGAGGUCAGGAGAUCCAGGCCAUCCUGGCUAACACGGUGAAACUCCGUCUCUACUAAAAAUUCAAAAAAUUAGCUAGGCGUGGUGGCAUGCGCCUGUAGUCCCAGUUACUCGGGAGGCUGAGGCAGGAGAAUCGCUUGAACUCGAGAGGCGGAGGUUUCAGUGAGCCAAGAUGGCGCCACUGCACUCCAGCCUGGGCAACAGAGCAAGACUCCGUCUCACACACACAAAAAAAGAAUCAGUAAUUGCCAGGGAUUAGGGGGAGGGAGGGAUCAAACAGUGCAGCACAGAGGGUUUUUAGCACAGUGAACUACUCUGUAUGAUACUAUCAUGAUGGGCACCUGUCAUUAAACAUUUGUCAAAACUUGUAGAAUGUACAAGACCAAGAGAGAACCCUAAUGUGAACUAUGGAUCCUGGGCGAUACCGAUGUGCCAGUGUAGGCUCAUGGAUUGUAACAAACACACAGCCCAGGUGGGGGAUGUUGACAGUGGGGAAGGCUGUGCUAUGUGGGGGGCAGAGGGUAUAUGAGAUAUCUCUGUACCUUCUGUUCAAUUUUGCUGUGAACCUAAAACUGCUCUAAAAAAAUAAAAUCUUAAAAAAAAGGAAAAAAGUCUCUUUAAAUGCUAAGAUUUAGUUUUUGGCUAAACUAAACUUUAGCAUUUCAAUGCUAAAGGCUGUUUUUUUUUUUUUAACUUUAUAUAAAUGUAACUAAACAGUGUGUAUUCUUUCAUGCGCCGCACUUUUUACUCAACAUUAUACUUGUGAAAAUCAUCCAGGUUGUCAUGUGUAGGUGUAGUUUGCAGUUUUUAUCAGUGGAUAGUAUUACAUUAAAGAAAUGGCAUAAUUUGUCUGUCUAUUCUACUCUUGACGGACAUUUAGGUUGUUUCCAGUCUAGGGCUAUUAUAAAUGACGCUUCUGUGAUCAUCCUUGCUCUUGUGUGCUGGUGGAGGCAUAUGUGUGUUUCUGAGGGUAUUACUCUGAGCCUGGAGUCUUCUUUGUGGAAAGGUUUAAAUUAUCAAUUCAGUUUAUUGAAUGGUUAUUGGGUUAGUUAAGAUUUACAUACUUUCUUGUGUCCAUUUUUGAUAAAUUUUCUUUUUAAGGGAUUCACCAAUUUAUCUAAAUUUGCAAAAUGUUUUGGCAUAAAACUAUUCAUAAUACUUUCUUAUGAUCUUUAAUAAAGAUGGUUCUGUUGUGAUGUCUCUUUAUCAUGCCUGACAUUGAUUAUUUUAAUCUUCUUUUUCUUUCUUUUGCC